rnacentral:rRNA from 1 species
AUGCCGCGUGUGUGAAGAAGGCCUUCGGGUUGUAAAGCACUUUUGUCCGGAANGAAAUCGCGCUGGUUAAUACCUGGCGUGNAUGACGGUACCGGAAGAAUAAGCACCGGCUAACUACGUGCCAGCAGCCGCGGUAAUACGUAGGGUGCGAGCGUUAAUCGGAAUUACUGGGCGUAAAGCGUGCGNAGGCGGUUUUGUAAGUCAGAUGUGAAAUCCCCGGGCUNAACCUGGGAACUGCNNUUGNGACUGCCNGGCUAGAGUGCGUCAGAGGGGGGUAGAAUUCCACGUGUAGCAGUGAAAUGCGUAGAGAUGUGGAGGAAUACCGAUGGCGAAGGCAGCCCCCUGGGANNUGACUGACGCUCA